AGUGAAUAGAUACCCGGGUAGUCCUAGCCGUAAACGAUGGGUACUAAGUAGGGGAGGCAACUUCCCUGCCGUAAACAAAAAAGCGUUAAAGUACCCCGCCUGGGGAGUAUAGUCGCAAGGCUGAAACUCAAAGGAAUUGACGGGGGCUCGCACAAGCGGUGGAGCAUGUGGUUUAAUUCGAUGCAAACGCGAAGAACCUUACCUGGACUUGACAUGCAUGGAUUAGGUUACCGAAAGGCAACUGACGGCCCGCAAGGGCAGGAACUUGCACAGGUGUUGCAUGGCUGUCGUCAGUUCGUGCCGUGAGGUGUUGGGUUAAGUCCCCAUAACGAGCGAAACCUUUGUCUUUAGUUACCAUCGGGUAAAGCCGGGGACUCUAAAGAGGCUGCAGGCGUUGAGCCUGAGGAAGGUGGAGACGACGUCAAGUCAUCAUGGCCUUUAUGUCCAGGGCUACACACGUGCUACAAUGGGCGGUACAAGGGAUGCCAAGUCGCAAGGCGGAGCAAACCCCAAAAACCCGUACCCCAGUUCAGAUUGCGGGCUGCAAUCCGCCCGCAUGAAGUC
rnacentral:rRNA from 1 species